rnacentral:rRNA from 1 species
GAUGAACGCUGGCGGCGUGCCUAAUACAUGCAAGUCGAGCGAACAGACGAGGAGCUUGCUCCUUCGACGUUAGCGGCGGACGGGUGAGUAACACGUAGGUAACCUACCUAUAAGACUGGGAUAACUUCGGGAAACCGGAGCUAAUACCGGAUAAUAUUUCGAACCGCAUGGUUCGAUAGUGAAAGAUGGCUUUGCUAUCACUUAUAGAUGGACCUGCGCCGUAUUAGCUAGUUGGUAAGGUAACGGCUUACCAAGGCAACGAUACGUAGCCGACCUGAGAGGUGGGUCGGCCACACUAGAGCGGGAACAGGGGCCAGAGUCCUACGGGAGGCAGCAGAAGGGAAUCGUCCGCAAUGGGCGAAAGCCUGACGGAGCAACGCCACGUGAGAGAAAAAGAUCUUCGGAUCGUAAAACCCUGUUAUUAGGGAAAAACAAACGUGUAAGUAAAUGUACACGGCUUGACGGUACCGAAUCAGAAAGCCACGGCUAACUACGUG